rnacentral:misc_RNA from 1 species
UACGGAGGGUGCAAGCGUUGUCCGGAUUUAUUGGGCUUAAAGGGCGCGUAGGCGGAUGAUUAAGUCGGUGGUGAAAGCCCACAGCUCAACUGUGGAACUGCCAUUGAUACUGGUUAUCUUGAGUAUAGUUGAGGCAGGCGGAAUUUAAGGUGUAGCGGUGAAAUGCAUAGAUAUCGGAAAGAACACCAAUAGCGAAGGCAGCUUGCUAAACUAUAACUGACGCUGAGGCACGAAAGCGUGGGGAGCGAACAGG